CUCCACGCCCCUGGCUCUCUCCUGCAGAGGGCCUGCUCUCAGCUGCCACAAGAGGGCGCAGGAGAAUGGACCUGAGCAGAGAGCCAGGAGCUCCACUGCCUGGUCCUCCCAGGCACCACCCCUGCUGGGAGGAAGGCUUGGGAGUCCCCUGAGACAGAUCCUCAGCCACUUCUCUCUGCCUGUGUCUCAGAAAGACCAGCUCCUCCUACUGUCUUCUGUGCUAGGGAUCACUUCCUUGCUGAGUGGGACCUGAGUUUUGAGAGGAUCUUCUGCUCCUCUUCAUCUGAUCCCUUUCCUUCCAAGGCCCAAGAGAGGAAGGCAUGUGGUGGGCCCCAGUCCUGCUUCUAGCUCUCCUGUCUCCUGCCAGUCAGAAAUCUUCCAAUUUGGAAGGGAGAACAAAGUCAGUCACCAGGCCGACUGGGUCAUCCGCUGAAAUCACCUGUGAUCUUCCUGAAGUCAGUAGCUUCUACAUCCACUGGUACCUACACCAGGAGGGGAAGGCCCCACAGCGUCUUCUGUACUAUGACUCCUCCAACUCCAGGGUUGUGUUGGAAUCAGGAAUCAGUUCAGGAAAGUAUGAUAGUUAUGGAAGCACAAGGAGGAGGAACUUGAGAUUGAGACUGCAAAAUCUAAUUGAAAAUGAUUCUGGGGUCUAUUACUGUGCCAACUGGGACAGGCACAGUGAUUCAGACCUGCUGAACACCAUACUGAAAAUCUGCCGUGUGGCUGCUUCUAGUACACAAGACAGAACCACCCCCUCUCACUUCCUGCCACCCAAUUUACUGUACGCUGAACAAGAGAAACACAGCUUAACUCCUGAUCUCCCCUACAGGAUUACACUCCCCUGGCAGCAGCUGCCCCCUGUUCCCCACCCUCCCCCAGGACUUCCCUGA